AUGAGCCGAAAGCUCUUCCUCAGGAUUGUGAAUUCCAUCCGGGAGUUCGACAACUACUUCAAGUGCAAGAUGGAUUGCACUGGCGCUCUUGGAUUCACCUUCAUCCAGAAGUGCACGACAGCGAUGAGGAUGCUUGCAUAUGGAGCUCCCAGUGAUUCACUCGACGACUAUGGGAGCAUGGCCAAGUCCACCAGCAUAGAGUGUUUCUACAAGUUCUGUCGGGCAGUGGUGGCAGUGUUUGGGCCACAAUACUUGAGAACACCCAAUGUGGAAGACACUGCUCGGAUCCUAGUCCAGAAUGCAGCAAGAGGAUUUCCUGGGAUGCUUGGAAGCAUCGACUGCAUGCAUUGGAAAUGGAAGAAUUGCCCAUUUGGUUGGCAGGGGAUGUACAAAGGCGCCAAAGGCGGUUGCAGUGUGGUGCUUGAGGCGGUAGCCACAUAG
rnacentral:rRNA from 1 species